rnacentral:lncRNA from 1 species
UCCAUGUCUUGGCACGUGGACUACAGGACGCAAGUGCGGCGCGCCGAGGCCGGAUUCCGGCUACUGCUGCUCUUCCUCCCGGUGGCGCUCAUCUUCGUCGCCCGCUACAUUUUCUUGGACGGGAGGUUCGUGUUCCAGUUGCCUUGGCCGGGCCAGGAGGACAUGCGCCGUGCGCAGAGCUCGCCGUGGGGGGUAGCGGUGUUGGUGGGAUUGCUGCUGGUGAUGGCCUCUUAUCAGCCCUCGUUCCAUUCUCAGUGGCUCAGGCCAUGGAGGGUUGACUAGGCCACAAAGGCCAUGUUGGUUGGUGCUGUAGCCGCUGUGCUUGCCUUUGGAGGAAGCUACAUGAUUAUAGCAAUCUGUAAUAUCAUGAAGAAACAUAAAAGAAAAGCUUUAGGUAGACCACUGUCUAACUCCCUGUUUUAGGUAUCAAAUGUUGUACAUCUUGUGAAGGUCAGGAAGAGUAUAUUACAAUUCUGGAGUUUGUUUGUGCAAGCAUUUUAUAUGAAAGACUAGACUUGGAUGUAUAAGAUAGACAUUGUUAUGUCAUGAACUUGGAUGAGAUCGUUGUUACCAGAAUGCUGAGGUGAAGAGCAAUGGCCAACCUUCUGCAAAGAUUAAUAAGUAAACUGAUGUCUGUCGAGGUAGACUCUGAUCCAGUGAGCAUGUGCAGAUA